AGAGUUUGAUCCUGGCUCAGGAUGAACGCUAGCUACAGGCUUAACACAUGCAAGUCGAGGGGCAGCAUGGUCUUAGCUUGCUAAGGCCGAUGGCGACCGGCGCACGGGUGAGUAACACGUAUCCAACCUGCCGUCUACUCUUGGACAGCCUUCUGAAAGGAAGAUUAAUACAAGAUGGCAUCAUGAGUCCGCAUGUUCACAUGAUUAAAGGUAUUCCGGUAGACGAUGGGGAUGCGUUCCAUUAGAUAGUAGGCGGGGUAACGGCCCACCUAGUCUUCGAUGGAUAGGGGUUCUGAGAGGAAGGUCCCCCACAUUGGAACUGAGACACGGUCCAAACUCCUACGGGAGGCAGCAGUGAGGAAUAUUGGUCAAUGGACGAGAGUCUGAACCAGCCAAGUAGCGUGAAGGAUGACUGCCCUAUGGGUUGUAAACUUCUUUUAUAAAGGAAUAAAGUCGGGUAUGUAUACCCGUUUGCAUGUACUUUAUGAAUAAGGAUCGGCUAACUCCGUGCCAGCAGCCGCGGUAAUACGGAGGAUCCGAGCGUUAUCCGGAUUUAUUGGGUUUAAAGGGAGCGUAGGCGGACGCUUAAGUCAGUUGUGAAAGUUUGCGGCUCAACCGUAAAAUUGCAGUUGAUACUGGAUAUCUUGAGUGCAGUUGAGGCAGGCGGAAUUCGUGGUGUAGCGGUGAAAUGCUUAGAUAUCACGAAGAACUCCGAUUGCGAAGGCAGCCUGCUGGGCUGUAACUGACGCUGAUGCUCGAAAGUGUGGGUAUCAAACAGGAUUAGAUACCCUGGUAGUCCACACAGUAAACGAUGAAUACUCGCUGUUUGCGAUAUACAGUAAGCGGCCAAGCGAAAGCGUUAAGUAUUCCACCUGGGGAGUACGCCGGCAACGGUGAAACUCAAAGGAAUUGACGGGGGCCCGCACAAGCGGAGGAACAUGUGGUUUAA
rnacentral:rRNA from 1 species